AGGGCACCACCAGGAGUGGAGCCUGCGGCUUAAUUUGACUCAACACGGGAAAACUCACCCGGCCCGGACACUGGAAGGAUUGACAGAUUGAGAGCUCUUUCUUGAUUCAGUGGGUGGUGGUGCAUGGCCGUUCUUAGUUGGUGGAGUGAUUUGUCUGGUUAAUUCCGAUAACGAACGAGACUCUAGCCUACUAAAUAGAUCGUCGGCUUACAAACGCCGGCGAGACUUCUUAGAGGGACAGGCGGUGAUUCAACCGCACGAACCAGAGCAAUAACAGGUCUGUGAUGCCCUUAGAUGUCCGGGGCCGCACGCGCGCUACACUGAAGUGAUCAGCGUGCUUUUUCAACCUACUCUGUCAAGAGUGGGGAACCCAAUGAACCUUCUUCGUGAUUGGGAUAGGGGAUUGUAAUUAUUCCCCUUGAACGAGGAAUUCCCAGUAAGCGCGAGUCAUAAGCUCGCGUUGAUUACGUCCCUGCCCUUUGUACACACCGCCCGUCGCUACUACCGAUUGAAUGUUUU
rnacentral:rRNA from 1 species